rnacentral:rRNA from 1 species
AGCGGCGGACGGGUGAGUAACACGUAGGCAACCUGCCCGCAAGACCGGGAUAACAUUCGGAAACGAAUGCUAAGACCGGAUACGCAAGAGGGAGGCAUCUUCCUGUUGGGAAACACGGAGCAAUCUGUGGCUUGCGGAUGGGCCUGCGGCGCAUUAGCUAGUUGGUGGGGUAACGGCUCACCAAGGCGACGAUGCGUAGCCGACCUGAGAGGGUGAACGGCCACACUGGGACUGAGACACGGCCCAGACUCCUACGGGAGGCAGCAGUAGGGAAUCUUCCACAAUGGGCGCAAGCCUGAUGGAGCAACGCCGCGUGAGUGAGGAAGGCCUUCGGGUCGUAAAGCUCUGUUGCCAGGGAAGAAUAAGGGUGAGGUGACUACUCACCCGAUGACGGUACCUGAGAAGAAAGCCCCGGCUAACUACGUGCCAGCAGCCGCGGUAAUACGUAGGGGGCGAGCGUUGUCCGGAAUUAUUGGGCGUAAAGCGCGCGCAGGCGGUUUCUUAAGUCUGGUGUUUAAGUGCGGGGCUCAAC